CCUGCUGUUCCGUCAGCAGUAGCCUACAACCAGAUGCACCAAAUAGUGAUAUAAUGUAUCAAGCUGGUUGGACAAUGUACUCCUCCCGAAAGGGGCAGACAGAAGCGUGAGUGGAAAUCAAUGGCUGUUAGUAUCAUACAGUCGGGAGG
rnacentral:ncRNA from 1 species